CCUACGGGCGGCUGCAGUGGGGAAUAUUGGACAAUGGGGGCAACCCUGAUCCAGCCAUGCCGCGUGUGUGAAGAAGGCCCUCGGGUUGUAAAGCACUUUCAGUGAGGAAGAACGCCUGGUGGUUAAUACCCAUCAGGAAAGACAUCACGCACAGAAGAAGCACCGGCUAACUCCGUGCCAGCAGCCGCGGUAAUACGGAGGGUGCGAGCGUUAAUCGGAAUUACUGGGCGUAAAGCGCGCGUAGGUGGCUUGAUAAGCCGGUUGUGAAAGCCCCGGGCUCAACCUGGGAACGGCAUCCGGAACUGUCAAGCUAGAGUGCAGGAGAGGAAGGUAGAAUUCCCGGUGUAGCGGUGAAAUGCGUAGAGAUCGGGAGGAAUACCAGUGGCGAAGGCGGCCUUCUGGACUGACACUGACACUGAGGUGCGAAAGCGUGGGUAGCAAACAGGAUUAGAUACCCCAGUAGUC
rnacentral:rRNA from 1 species